rnacentral:rRNA from 1 species
GACGAACCGAGCGAACGUUGUUCGGAAUCACUGGGCUUAAAGGGCGCGUAGGCGGGCUGCAAAGUCCGGGGUGAAAGCCCCCCGCUCAACGGGGGAACGGCCUCGGAUACUGGCGGUCUGGAGGCGGGUAGGGGCAGGCGGAACUGUGGGUGGAGCGGUGAAAUGCGUUGAGAUCCACAGGAACUCCGGUGGCGAAGGCGGCCUGCUGGACCCGAACUGACGCUGAGGCGCGAAAGCCAGGGGAGCGAACGGG